rnacentral:misc_RNA from 1 species
GGUGAAUAUGUAUUAACCAUGUGAAUGGAUCAAAGUAUUCGAUCAUUGAAGACGACAACACGGGAGAGAUUCACUUUGCAAGGAUCAGCCGAGGAGAUUGUCAAACAGAGUUAAGGAUACCAUGAUGCACCUAAAAAAAUUAAGUUCCAAAUUGGAAAUUUCCACAAGGUAAUUAGAGAAAGAAAGAGAGAUAGGAGAGAGAGAGAGAGAAAUGAGACAAAGAUUUCAGAGAACGUGAGGGUUGAGGACAG